rnacentral:tRNA from 1 species
GGAAGGGUGGCCGAGUGGUUGAUGGCACUGGUCUUGAAAACCAGCAGAUUAACGUCUCGCAGGUUCGAAUCCUGUCCCUUCCGCCA